GAAGCUGAAAUUGCAGGUUAUUUGGGACAUGAUGAUUACACCCGUUCCAUUCUCACCGUGGAGUUCCCUCCCUUUUACUUCUCCACACACGGGUUAUCUCGACCCAGCACCCCAAAUAAUGAGGACCAGCCAAGGUAUUAUCAGCUGAUUGAGAAAGCCAUAGAACCUAACAUGAUCAGUCCUGUGGAAACCGAGACCGUCCAAGGAAUCUUUGAACUGGUUCCUAAAACCCUCAGACAAGCUGUGCCGAGUGCCAAACGCAGGUUUCUUAGGGAAAUGGAGGAGGAUAGAAGAUUGGCUCUGAAGAAAGCUAUACUGGAUUACAUCUUAUUAGACACAGCAGAACAAGAGAGACUGGGGGUACCCAUACCAGUCAAG